UAGCGGAGUGUACUAGCGCACGGAAAAGCGGAGCUGUGAAAGCAGUGCUCCCUCGGAACAGGGGCAUUCAGAGAGAAAAACGCCCUGAUGCGGGAGGUGCGCCGCCAGCCUGCGCCCCGCGGGUUAAUUGCUCAUACCGAGGGCGCCAUCCUGCGUCGGACCUUCCUUUUCCUCUCCUACCUGCCUAGGCAGCUGCUGCUGUGAUGGGUACGGCUGGGUAAUUGAAACAGGUAUCUCUGACGUUGAAAUGGGUAUUUUUUGUUAAUAUUUCAAAGUUCAUGUUUCUUCAGCAAAUUGAUACAUAAAAUGAUCACUUGGAUAAAUCACGCUCACCUCGGAAGCCCUGCAGCAGGAUGCAGCUAGGUGUACCUUAGCCACAUGACCUGUCUCCACUGACAGGCAUACUGACAGGUUCUGCUCAACCUUCUCUGCAGAUGGAGCCGUACACAUGGAGAACAGGGAGAGUCUCACUGAAGUAUGCAGUAUUCACUUACUGAACUUUACAGUGUUAUCAUGUGAGACAAUGGCACCAUGAUCAACAAUAAUGAAUGCUGUGGUUUCUCCAUCAACAACAAACUACCAUCAGCAUUGGGAUCAACUAUGUAUCAGGGCUAUCCUAAUUCUGUCUCUGUCUCUGAUCCUGUUGAGGGAGAACAUGAGUUCUCCCCGUGAUCACUGAGAUGCACAAUGAAUAUUAACAGUAAGUAUGGUGCAGUAUUAAUGGUGUGUGCAAUCCAGUGGUCAUUACCUCUUAGCUUAUUAAAGAGCUUCUCACAAGUGAGAAACAGUUUGCUGUAGAUUAACUGGCAAGGUCACACCUGGGGCGCAGUGCCUUCAUUGUACAAUAAAAAAUUCAAAUGAUUUUA